UACGGGGGGAGCAAGCGUUGUUCGGAUUUACUGGGCGUAAAGGGCGCGUAGGCGGCGUGACUAGUCACUUGUGAAAUCUCCGGGCUUAACUCGGAACGGUCAAGUGAUACUGUCGUGCUAGAGUACAGAAGGGGCAACUGGAAUUCUCGGUGUAGCGGUGAAAUGCGUAGAUAUCGUGAGGAAGACCAGUUGCGAAGGCGGAUCUCUGGGCAGUUCCUGACACUGAGGCACGAAGGCCAGGGGAGCAAACGGG
rnacentral:rRNA from 1 species